UUUAGUUUUCAAACGACUGCAACAUCUGUAUGUUGUUAUAAACCGACACGAUUGUACGCUCCUGUCUCCAACCCAGGUCUGGUGGCUGCGGUGCAACGCGCUAGGCUUCAAAAAUCGAGCCGACCAAAGAGCCACAAAUACUGGCUAUGCUCUGGAGCAUAAAUACACGAUCACAUGAAUGAUGAAGUUCUGCAGUCUGGCUAUGUCAAACAAGUCUUAGCUAACACAAACCAACAAAACUGGAAGGCUAACUCGAGGUCAACACUGUGCUAACAGCUGCUCCACUCUGAGGAAACAACAGGAACUGCUGCCCGUCCAUAUGUCCAGCUUUUUUUUCUCUUUUAAUAAGUGGACGAAGCUCUGCGCUGCCCACUUCAACCUCGUCGUUGGUGAGCAAGAAGAUGAGAAAACGAAAAGAAACAAGAAGCAGCACAAGAUGAAAGGAACAUGUAAAAGCUUUCUCAAUCCUCUGGACAGUUCAGAGAACACAGGGGAGCAAACGUUUAUUGUCUCAGGUCAAGGAUUUUUACCUACCGCAGUUCAGAAUGAGCCCACAGGAAAAAAAUGGUCUGAGUGAGAGGACCCAGUCAACUUCUUCCAGUUUAGCUGGCGCUCUGUUUUUGACUUAUCAGAAAAAGUACUUAGUAUCUGUAUAAUCUAACAGUGAAACAAUAUUUAACAGAACUAAGUCUGUGUGUUUAGAAACUAUCAACAGGGAUCAGAUAAAAAGAAACUGACUCAAAUGUUCUGCUGGAGGAGAAAUGAAGCUGCUGGAUGGAACAAAGAAGGACGGACAGCUGUGCAGUCGUGAAUCUUUCUUCUCCACAGUCUCAGCAGCGUUUACUCUGAUCAGCUUAUUGAAGUUCUCUCAGACAUUUAAAACAUGUUCACUCAUGCUGUACCAAACUAACUGAGUAAAUAACAUUCUACUGUGUAUGGUUACAUGCAGUCAUCAAAUCAAACCAGCCCUGUAUGAGAUCAGCGGCUGUGAUUGGUCCUUCACCAGCGAGUGCGGGUGGAAAUUUGUCUAAAUGGGAGGAGUGCAGGACAGACUCUGCAGAGCUACAGCUCAUAGAUUUUUGUGGUUUUCCUCACUAGAAAAAAGUGAAAACAUCUUCAGAUCCUCGACAGAGACAAAGAAAACAUUCCUAAAAAUCCCUCAAAUCAGAGUGAAAAAAAACCUUUACAACAUGGAAGGACAGGAAAUGUCGGACAGAAGGAGGAAAAGGUGAAAGGAGAUGAGGCGGGCAGGACUCAGAGCAGGAUGAAAUGACGGAGGGCUGAAAACACUUCACUGUAACUACUCUGUUUUCAGCAGCCUCUCACAUCUGUAAGUCUGUAUCCAUGGCAACAACACAGAGAGACAAUUAUGGGAUGAGUCAGGUUUGAUAACUUUUUAUCUGCCGGUGUGUGAAAUAAGGUUAGAACACGCUGGCAAGUUCAUGUAUGUAAUAAAUGGUGGGGUUAGUGAAGUCGUACACAUGUGUUUGUAGUGUACACACACACACACACACACACACACACACACACACACAUUAAAUAGGCAGAGCUGAGCCUGUUGCUGUGAGUCGUCCAACAGCAGCCAGGCAGAAAAUAGGCACUCAACACUGCAUUUACUGAGAGGUACAAGCUGAAAGUACAGAGAGGAGGAACAGAAGAAGAGACAGAGUAACGAGAAGUAACAAGAAAGACGAGAGGAAAGGAAGAGGAAACGAAUGAGGCAGGAAAAUAGGGAGAAGGAGAGCGCGCUCACACAGAAGCUGCUAAAUUUCACUGAAGUCAAACUUUGGAGUUUUCAUCAUGAAAAAGUGAAAACAGUUUAUUCAGACUUUCCUCUUUGAAAUUCGACUUCAGUAUUCCUCACAGUAAACUUUAGUCUGGUUUUCUUCCUCACUCUUUCUUCAAAUUACAUCAAAUCAAACCUUCACUCAGCACUAUCUGAAUUAGAUUUCACCCCCAAAACAUUCACUUCAGUUUUUUCCUCUCAUGUGAAAGGUCAUUCCAGUUUUUCAGAUGACUUUACUCCAGUCCAACUUUUUAAAUUCAGUCUUUACCUUAGUCCAGAUUUCUUAUAACAUAAAGUCCAACUUUUCCUCUCUAACGUUUCUCUUUCUGUGGCAUGAAUUUGAAUUAUUCAGAACCAUUUCAGUCCACUGCUGCUUAGCCAUCCAUUUUCUUCUGCUUUUUUAAUUCAGGGUUGUCAUGGUUGGGGAGGGGUGGAGCUUAUCCCAGCUGGCAUGGAGUGAAAGGUGGGGUAGACCCUGUACAGGUCCGGGUCUGUCGCAGGGCUUUGUAAUAUUUAAAUCUGCGUUCUGUAUUUUAUGGAAAAGGCUGGUUAAGUCAUUUGUUUCAGAUACUUUGAAGGACUGAAUACUGCAACUGGAAGAAUUGUCAGUCUGAUUCAUUUCUUUUUCACACAUUUCUAAAUAGUAAAUAAUUGAGCCUGAAGUCAAAAACAUAUGAAGGAGUGAAUUCGGAUUUCUUAAAAUAGUUUUUAUUUCUAACUACUUAAACUAUUACUGCAGUCUGACUGAAGCCUGACUGUUUAUUGACUGUUCCAUUUCAUCCCCAGCAGGGACCCUCCUGUUUGUGCAGACGCUGAGUGGACGUAAAUCAGAGCUGAGCUGGAGGCGCUCGGCCUCAGGAAAGCCCCUCUGCCUCCAACAGACAGCCAGUGUCCUCAGCAGAUGUCGAGGAGCAAUAACAUCAGACAGACUGCACUGCCGAGGCAGACAGCCAUGCACUAUUACACCACAUAGACUUCCAAUAACACUUCCCGGGUAGAUGUAAAAAAGGCAAUAAGAUUAGACAGUCUGCUGCCGACUGCCAAAUGGACUAUAACAGAUCACGGCCGCAGGGAGACACUCGGCCGGCUCAGGGGGGAGGGAGGCCGACCGAGCUAACAGCCCUUUUUUGGUCAAUUCUCCAAAGGAUGUUGUUUGCUUAAUUCAAAGAGCUUGAGGUAAAGUUCAGCUCACAAUCCAAAGUUUGUGUCUGCACAAGUGAAUCUUUCAGUAGUCAGAUAAGCACUGAGGCACUGAGUUCAUAUUCAGCAGCCUGAAGUCAGCCACAGAGACGUGUCCUUUUUGUGCAGCUCGUUAUGAUCAGCUGAAGUUGCACACGUGGCAGAUGUUGUUCACUAUUGUCACGUCUACAGUUUCAGAGGAUCUAAAGUUUUGUCCGUAUGAAUACAGAGCCUGAGGACGAGGCUGCAAGCAGCUGCAGUGAUCUCCUAAAACAGCAUGCGGCUGCAGCUGGAAGGCGGAGCGUGAAACUGUGCCACACAUCAGAAGAAGCCAUCGGAGCGACACGCUGAUUUACUGGAAUACACAUCUGUAAUUACAGCCAGAGCGCCGCGUGCCUCGAUGAUAGCGCCGUGAAAGCGAUUAGCCUGUUAGCUUUCAUCGAGCACACCGAGCUCUUUCCUUCCUGACUGUUAAAAAUAAAACACCGUACAACACUUUCCUCAUCACGCACGCUCACACGCUGCUGCUUUCACUGUUGUUUGCUGUUUCACAUAUUUUCCUAAUAUCGCAGUUUGAUCUUUUAUAAAAUCUGCUGCCAGCGUCCGUGUUUGCGAUUGGUCAGAACGAUAAGGUCUGCGUUAAUUCAUCGAGUUUACAACCAGCUUCUUCUUUUUUCUCCAGUGUGUGAAUGUGUGUGUGAAUGGGUGGAUGACUGGAUAUGGAAAGCGCUUUGGGGUCUUUAAGGACUGUUAAGGCGCUAUAUAAAUACAGGCCAUUUUACCAUUUCUUUAUCCUGGAUGUGCUGAACCUGAACGCUUCACUGUCAGACCGAUCAGACAUAUUUGCCCCUUUUUCUGUUUGCUGACAUGAGAAAACUUCAGACUUACUGCAAUGUUACCGUAAAUCAUUGUUUGUCAUUUCUAAAGCUUUGGUUUUGUAAUAAAAUAAAAUAAUCUUCCAGA